rnacentral:rRNA from 1 species
AUGCACCCGGAGCUGAAGUCCUACUUGGCCGAUUACCACGCACGGACCAUGGCGCGCUACGACGCCGUGGACAAGCAGCACGCGCGGAUGUUAAAGAUCCUCACGGGCGUCUCGACCCCGCAGCUGGCUUGCCCCAUGGGCACAGCAGCCGAUGGUGGCCUCACCGACGACCCCAGAGCCCCGGCGGUCGUCCACGACGUCUUCUCCACCACCACCCAGGCCCAGGAGACCCCCGCGGUCUCGCAUGAUGCACCCUCGGUCCGCAUCGAGAGGGUGCCCGCCACCUGUUCGACGGAGUGCCUGACCCAGGUCGCCUCCAUCGCCAGCGUCGGCGAGGUCCACGACGCUGCCACAGCCGCCCAGCUCGAGCCCGUGGAUGACCACAUCCACCAGGAGGUCGCCUCCGAGAUCAUCACACCAGUGGCAACCACCACCGAGGUCAACCCCAAGACCAGCGUGCAGGAGCUGGACGACUCGCCACUACCAUGCAGCAACAACUCCACCCAAGUAGUGAGCGAGGCGGACCACAUCGUCGUUCUCCUUGUUCCCAACAACUUGGCUGCACUAGCGCCGUCCAAGUGCUUGGCAGAAUGCUCCGCCUAUGUGGGCGACUGGGUGAAACCUCUGACCGCCACCAUCGAUAGUGUCGACGAGACACAUGACACUCCCAUCGCUGAGCGUCUGCACCCGCCUUCCUUCGAACGACAUCAACCAUGGAGGUUCAAUCACAUGGGAUCCAUCUUCAGGCCUAGCCCGUGGCCAUCGUUCGGGCCUCUGUCAGUCACAAGCUACCCGGAAGAGCCAUGUUCAAGUAUCCAUAGUCAAUCACAUCGAGGUUCCUGCUUUAGUCCUUGGUUAGUUCGGUUGAUGUUUAGAGAUGUUCACCUGGAGGAGCAUGGUAAUGGAACUGAUUCAGUCAAGCCUUGCACCAGUGGAAUUCAACACAAAGUGCGUGAAAGUUUCACUGAAAUUGCAAGGCGAUGUUCGUUUGAUGUUCGGAGAUGUUCACCGGGAGAUGGUCCAGCAAUCGCAAGGGAGUUCGAUGUUCCUUUGGAAAUCAAAAAAAUGGAUAAAGGAUGCAUGGGUUCAAGUGUGGCUGCAUAUGUAUUACCUCUUGAAAGAUAUGAACCAUGCAAGUAUCAGUUUUUCAGAGAAUCAAGCAUGACUGAUUUUCCUGCUGAAUUCGAAGUUGAAUACGAAGCUGAAUAUUAUGUUCAAAAUACAACUCCUGGAUUGGUUGGGCGUGAAGAUGACUUAAACCUCUGGAACACAGAUGGAUGCUCAGCAGGCAUUGAUAGCAACAAUACAGUUGUUGUGGCUGAUAGCAAAUCUGAUAAAAUAUCUGACAGUUGA